UACGGGGGGGGUAAGCGUUGUUCGGAAUUACUGGGCGUAAAGGGCUCGUAGGCGGUCAACUAAGUCAGACGUGAAAUCCCUCAGCUUAACUGGGGAACUGCGUCUGAUACUGGAUGGCUUGGAUCCGGGAGAGGGAUGCGGAAUUCCAGGUGUAGCGGUGAAAUGCGUAGAUAUCUGGAGGAACACCGGUGGCGAAGGCGGCAUCCUGGACCGACACUGACGCUGAGGCGCGAAAGCUAGGGGAGCAAACGGG
rnacentral:rRNA from 1 species